rnacentral:rRNA from 1 species
CGCAUCUGUGCAUGCAGCAUAUCAAUAAGCGGAGGAAAAGAAACUAACAAGGAUUCCCUUAGUAACGGCGAGUGAAGCGGGAAGAGCUCAAAUUUGAAAUCUUCAAGGUUUUACCUUGACGAAUUGUAGUUUAAAGAAGUGUUUUCUGUUGAAGUUUUGGUAAAAGUUCUUUGGAAUAGGACAUCAUAGAGGGUGAGAAUCCCGUAUUUGACCAUUAUUUUCAGCUGUGUGAUACACUUUCAAAGAGUCGGAUUGUUUGGGAAUGCAGUCCAAAAUGGGUGGUAAAUUUCAUCUAAAGCUAAAUAUUGGCGAGAGACCGAUAGCGAACAAGUACCGUGAGGGAAAGAUGAAAAGAACUUUGAAAAGAGAGUUAAACAGUACGUGAAAUUGUCAAAAGGGAAGCGUUUGACACCAGUGUUGUUUUCUCGAAAAUCAAUUAAAAAGAGUUUGAUUUUAUUGUGUAUUGACCUUAACAGCUUGCAUUUCAAUUUUCUUGCUUUUUUUAAUGCACUUUUCGUUUAACAAGUCAACAUCAGUUUCUUUUGUUGUAAAAAGGUCAUUGGAAGGUGGCUUUCUUUUCGGAGAAAGUGUUUAUAGCCUUUGACUCCUGCAAUCGGAGAGACUGAGGUCUGCAGCGUAGAUCCUUCGGGGUUAGAUACAUUUGUGCUAAGUUAUAGCUUUUUAUAGACAACUUGUUGACUAUGAUUAGUCUUGUAGCUUACUCGCUUAUGCUAUUUUACCUACGCUUAGGAUGUUGACACACGCGCGUGCUCG